GGUGAACGCCAGCUACAGGCUUAACACAUGCAAGUCGAGGGGUAACGAGAGGAAAGCUUGCUUUCCUUGUCGACGACCGGCGCACGGGUGAGUAACGCGUAUCCAACCUGCCCCCAACUAAGGAAUAACCUUGCGAAAGUAAGACUAAUACCUUAUAAUUUCCUCAGAUGUCAUCUGACGAGGAAUAAAGAUUUAUCGGUUGUGGGUGGGGAUGCGCCUGAUUAGCUUGUUGGCGGGGUAACGGCCCACCAAGGCAACGAUCAGUAGGGGUUCUGAGAGGAAGGUCCCCCACAUUGGAACUGAGACACGGUCCAAACUCCUACGGGAGGCAGCAGUGAGGAAUAUUGGUCAAUGGGCGAAAGCCUGAACCAGCCAAGUAGCGUGCAGGAUGACGGCCCUAUGGGUUGUAAACUGCUUUUAUACAGGAAUAAAGUUAGCCACGUGUGGUUAUUUGUAGGUACUGUAUGAAUAAGGACCGGCUAAUUCCGCGCCAGCCGCCGCCGUAA
rnacentral:rRNA from 1 species